rnacentral:lncRNA from 1 species
CGACCGGACCUUCUGGAGAGUUUGGAAAUCGUAGCAACGCACAACUCAUAAGAGUGUCUGGACUGUAGUCGAGGGGAGUGGAAGUACAACUGAUGGAGAAUACACAGGAGCUGAAUGAACAGAGCGUGAAGAAAUCUACCACUGAUUCUCAUGCUCCAGACCCAGUAGGCAACAGGUAAAGUGAACACACAUAUUCUCCCCUGGAAUCCAUUUAGGGUAUUAUUUAUGAGAA